GAUGAACGCUGGCGGCGUGCCUAACACAUGCAAGUCGAGCGAUUUACUUCGGUAAAGAGCGGCGGACGGGUGAGUAACGCGUGGGUAACCUGCCUCAUACACAUGGAUAACAUACCGAAAGGUAUGCUAAUACAAGAUGAUAUAAGAGAUUCGCAUGGAUUUCUUAUCAAAGCUCCGGCGGUAUGAGAUGGACCCGCGUCUGAUUAGCUAGUUGGUAAGGUAACGGCUUACCAAGGCGACGAUCAGUAGCCGACCUGAGAGGGUGAUCGGCCACAUUGGGACUGAGACACGGCCCAGACUCCUACGGGAGGCAGCAGUGGGGAAUAUUGCGCAAUGGGGGAAACCCUGACGCAGCAACGCCGCGUGAAGGAUGAAGGCUUUCGGGUUGUAAACUUCUUUGAUCAGGGACGAAUAAUGACGGUACCCGAG
rnacentral:rRNA from 1 species